UACGUAGGUGGCAAGCGUUGUCCGGAUUUACUGGGCGUAAAGAGCGCGCAGGCGGUCGUUCAAGUCGCGUGUGAAAGCCCCCGGCUCAACUGGGGAGGGUCACGCGAUACUGAUCGACUCGAAGGCAGGAGAGGGUAGUGGAAUUCCCGGUGUAGUGGUGAAAUGCGUAGAUAUCGGGAGGAACACCUAUGGCGAAGGCAGCUUGCUGGGACGGUACUGACGCUGAGACGCGAAAGCGUGGGGAGCAAACAGG
rnacentral:rRNA from 1 species